rnacentral:lncRNA from 10 species
GUGACGUCGUUACGACGCGCGACCCCUGUAGACUCGUCCCUCCGGAAGGCUCAGUGCAUAAGUGGGCAGUCGUUCAACCUUCUGUCGUUCAGUUCAUAAAUACCGUUCUUAUUGAGCAUCCUAGGUGCAGAGCUACCCACUCCGCAUACAGUGAGACUGAGAGAUACAGAGCUUCUCUUCGUGGAACUAUCUGCCUAGUAUAACACACUAAUCAAUUAAUCAUGGCUGGAGUGCAAUGGCGCGAUCUCGGCUAACCACAACCGCCACCUCCCAGGUUCAAGCAAUUCUCCUGCCUCAGACUCCUGAGUAGCUGGGAUUACAGGCACACACCACCAUGCCCGACUAAUUUUGUAUUUUUAAUAGAGACGUGGUUUCUCCCUGUUGAGGUUGGUCUCGAACUCCUGAUCUCAGGUGAUCUGCCUGCCUCAGCCUCCCAAAGUGCUGGGAUUACAGGCGUGAGCCACUGUGACCAGUGGGAAACUAUUGGUUUUAAACAAGAGGUAAAGAGAAGCCUGUGCCACCUGAUUAGAUUUUUAAAAUUAAACUAUUUUGAGACAAUUGUAGAUUCAUAUGGAAUAUGAGAAGUAGUAAUACAGGGAGAUUCUGUGUACCCUUUACCCAGUUUCCCCUAAGGGUAACAUCUUGUAAAACUGUAGUACAGUAUUGUCAGAGGCAUUUGAACCAGAGUGACUCCAUCUUGAGUGAGGGCUAGGAAAAGUGAAGCUGGGACUUGCUUGGCUGCAUUCCCAGGAAGUUAGGUAUUCCUAGCCUCUAGAUGUUUAUGGUUAAGGGAACAGACUAAUAACAUUUACUAAACAGACCCGUACUUAGGAGUGUCCUGAGAUCCCGAUAUUUUGAGAAUAGAAGCAUUCCUAAUUUUGCUUUAAAGAUAAUAAUGUUGAUUCUUGUAAAAUAUAGUAAUUUAAAAAAUUAAUCCUUUAUCACAAACCCUUGUGGCAGAGCACAUCUCCCCAUGAUCUUUUUUUAUCCUAUAUAUAAGCAAGCAUUCUACCUAGGGUGGACACGUUUCUCCUCUUACUUUCAGGAACGCCCUACUGUCUAUGGAGUAGAUAUUCUUUCACCACUUUACUUUCUUAAUAAACUUGCUUUUGCUUUGCACUGUGGACUUGCCCUGAAAUCUUUCUUGCACAAGAUCCAAGGACCCUCUGUAUUAGUCUGUUUUCAUGCUGCUAAUAAAGACAUACCUGAGACUGGGUAAUUUAUACAGGAAAAAGGUUUAAUGGAUUUACAGUUCCACAUGGCUAGGGAGGCCUCACAAUC